CAAUCCUUAUAGUGCUUUUAGAAUUUGUCUAGCAGGUUUUCCAGUGUCUACUGGAAGACUAAU
ensembl:snRNA U7 U7 small nuclear RNA